CAUGUAGGCGGUCUGUUAAGUCUGGUGUGAAAGCCCGGGGCUCAACCCCGGAAGUGCAUUGGAUACUGGCAGACUUGAGUAUGGGAGAGGAAAGUGGAAUUCCGAGUGUAGGAGUGAAAUCCGUAGAUAUUCGGAGGAACACCAGUGGCGAAGGCGGCUUUCUGGACCAAUACUGACGCUGAGAUGCGAAAGCGUGGGGAGCGAACAGGAUUAGAUACCCUGGUAGUC
rnacentral:rRNA from 1 species